AUUGAACGCUGGCGGCAUGCUUUACACAUGCAAGUCGAACGGUAACAGGCCGCAAGGUGCUGACGAGUGGCGAACGGGUGAGUAAUGCAUCGGAACGUGCCCAGUCGUGGGGGAUAACGCAGCGAAAGCUGCGCUAAUACCGCAUACGAUCUAUGGAUGAAAGCGGGGGACCGUAAGGCCUCGCGCGAUUGGAGCGGCCGAUGUCAGAUUAGGUAGUUGGUGGGGUAAAGGCUCACCAAGCCAACGAUCUGUAGCUGGUCUGAGAGGACGACCAGCCACACUGGGACUGAGACACGGCCCAGACUCCUACGGGAGGCAGCAGUGGGGAAUUUUGGACAAUGGGCGCAAGCCUGAUCCAGCAAUGCCGCGUGCAGGAAGAAGGCCUCGGUUGGUAAC
rnacentral:rRNA from 1 species